GAGGCGAACCGGGGGAACUGAAACAUCUAAGUACCCCGAGGAAAAGAAAUCAACCGAGAUUCCGAAAGUAGCGGCGAGCGAAAUUGGACUAGCCCUUAAGCUUUACACGCGUUAGACGAACGGUCUGGAAAGUCCGACGAUACAGGGUGAUAGUCCCGUAGUUGACGACGUGUGUUCAGUGAAAUCGAGUAGGGCGGGACACGUGAUAUCCUGUCUGAAUAUGGGGGGACCAUCCUCCAAGGCUAAAUACUACUGACUGACCGAUAGUGAACCAG
rnacentral:rRNA from 1 species